UACGUAGGGGGCUAGCGUUGUCCGGAAUCAUUGGGCGUAAAGAGCGUGUAGGUGGCUUGGUAAGUCCGCUGUGAAAGCCCAGGGCUCAACCCUGGAAUAGCCUUUAAUACUGGAUGUCUUGAGUUCGGGAGAGGUGAGUGGAACUCCGAGUGUAGAGGUGAAAUUCGUAGAUAUUCGGAAGAACACCAGUGGCGAAGGCGACUCACUGGCCCGAUACUGACGCUGAGGCGCGAAAGCGUGGGGAGCAAACAGG
rnacentral:rRNA from 1 species